GAUGAACGCUGGCGGCGUGCCUAAUACAUGCAAGUCGAACGGAGACUGUAGCAAUACGGUCUUAGUGGCGAACGGGUGAGUAACACGUUGGUGACCUGCCCCGAAGCGAGGGAUAACAGUUCGAAAGGACUGCUAAUACCCCAUGUGGUCUUCGAGAUUAGAUGCUUGAUGACUAAAGGAGCAAUCCACUUUGGGAGGGACCUGCGUCCCAUCAGCUAGUUGGUAGGGUAACGGCCUACCAAGGCUUUGACGGGUAGGGGACCUGAGAGGGUGACCCCCCACACUGGCACUGAAACACGGGCCAGACACCUACGGGUGGCAGCAGUAGGGAAUAUUGCAUAAUGGGCGAAAGCCUGAUGCAGCAACGCCGCGUGCGCGAUGAAGGCCUUCGGGUCGUAAAGCGCUUUUCAAAGGGAUGAGGAAGGACAGUACCUUUGGAAUAAGUCUCGGCUAACUACGUGCCAGCAGCCGCGGUAAAACGUAGGAGGCGAGCGUUAUCCGGAUUUACUGGGCGUAAAGCGCGUGCAGGCGGCUCGGAAAGUUGGAUGUGAAAGCUCCCGGCUCAACUGGGAGAGGUCGUUCAAUACUUCCGGGCUAGAGAGUGGUAGAGGGAGGUGGAAUUCCGGGUGUAGUGGUGAAAUGCGUAGAUAUCCGGAGGAACACCAGUGGCGAAAGCGACCUCCUGGACCAUUUCUGACGCUCAGACGCGAAAGCUAGGGUAGCAAACGGGAUUAGAGACCCCGGUAGUCCUAGCCGUAAACUAUGUAGACUUGGCGUCGGUGGGUUCAAAUCCAUCGGUGCCGAAGCCAACGCGAUAAGUCUACCGCCUGGGGACUACGGCCGCAAGGUUA
rnacentral:rRNA from 1 species